CGAGCAUUAAUAUAUAUUUUCUAACCAGAGUAACAUUUCAAAACACACACACUCUACCUUACCAACUAUAGAGGGUUUAUUACCAAUAAGGCUCAUUUUAUAUUGGAAUUUUUUUUUGAUUUUUACAAUGACAUUAAAUAUGCAAAGCUAAGAAAGAACAUAAGAUUCUCAUAACAAAAACAACAAUUCCAACGAAUAAGACAAAAAUCUUCUGAAUCCCCCAAAUUGUCUUUUGCCAUUCUCCCUCAACGAGACAAGUUUCUCUUGGAACUUCCUGAGAUUCUUCAAGAUUCCAACUUCGGUUUUUUAACCCGGAUCCUCGAAAGAGCAGUGAUUGUUUCACUCAAUGGGAAAAUAAAUCUGAGCUAUCACGGAUUUGUGUACUUUUAAACCCAAAGAUUCUUGGAACAUAUUAAGCUCUGAGUCAGUUUCUGCGGCUUUAAGUUCCCAUAACUCACAAAUAACAAAUGAGGGAAUGUUGUUCCAAAGUAAGCUCCAUCAAUAUCUGCAACAACAUUCAUUUACAGAAACAAAAACACACUAAGAUACAAUCGUGCCAUUUACGCAAAGGAUACUACUUACUGCCUUCGUUUUUAGAUAGCGGGUAAGAUAUAUCUUCGCAUUUCGGGCCACAGUACUCGAUCUCAGUUCCAAGUGGAAGACAAGAUUGUCCGCAACAGAUCCGAAACCACAAUUACUUCUCUGUCUACUAACAGAAUAGACCAAACUUGUUAACCAAACGACAAAAUCUAUAAUAUAAUGAGGGAGUUUCUCUCCUCCUGAGGUGACACGUCAUCACUUUUUAAAGGGGCCGAAUUUAUUUUCGUAUAACACUUACGUUGCCCUGGCUAUAACAACUAAAAUCUACUUGGCCCAGUGGUAUAACCCGUUCAUAGUAAUGCUUGAGUGUACGGGUUCGAAUCCCCCUGGCUUCCUCUUUAAUUUUUUUUUCUAAUAUACCUUCAUCCACGUUUCAAGACUCCUUAAGCUAUCCACGUAGGCAAGCAUGUGGGACCCACUUCUAUUAUUUUUUUAAAUAUCCAGUUAUCAAAUUGUCGCGUUAUGGGUGUGAUCCGUGUUUUGGGUUUCUUUCAUGGGAUUCUCCGGCCCGCUACCGUCUUCCUAUGCGUCGCCUUUGGCUGAUUAGGGUUACCGUCUCCUUCGAGAUCCUUCGUUUGAGGGCGCUUCCUCUUCCACUAGAGUUCAGUUUUCUUAUGAACUCCAAUAAUCUAUUGUCUCGAAAAAAUAGAAGUCGAUCGAGUAUCUUCCCUGCAAAGGAGUGUCAACAAGCGAUGGAUGAGCAAGGUUCUUCCGAAGGUAAUCAUGAGAUAUGUUUCCUCUUUGUCGAUUUAAUGAGUUCAUGCUUCUGUUACGUAAAAUAUUUGUGCUGAUAUACACAUGAGUGCUUGAAUUUAGUUACUUGAUCUCUGGAUUUUGACGGAUUCACUUUAGAUUUGUCAAUUGGUAUUUAUUUUUCUGAAUGAUGUUUGUUAAUCAAAAGGCUGAGUUGAUUUUCAGUAUUGUUUGAUUUUUUUGAAAUGUCUUUGAUGUUGACAAGUUUGGUUAAUUCUUCAUCUCCUUUUCAGGUUAAGAUCCCUCAUUGGCUAAAUCAUCUAUCUUCCAUGGUAAAUACUUAAGCGAUUAUCUAAACAGUUAUUUGGCUAUCUCUUUUAUCUUUUUGAAUUGAUUCAAGACGAAACCUGGUUUACAAGAUCUGUGACUCUGUUUUGAGUACUCUCAAAGUCUCGUCGUGAAAAUAAAGAAAAAAAUGAAGCUUGUAUAGGAAAAAUAAGUUGAGAUAUUUGAAUGCUGAAACUCCAUGGCUGUCGCAAGCUGAAACUGAAGCUGGUAAUCUGGAAGAGAACCACAUCUCCAUGGCUUUCUCAAGCCUUUUGUUUCCCAUUCCUCGAACAGAAGAGACUCUUUUUCUAAUCUGUUAAUUUGGCUCUUUUUAUAUUUAAUUUUUUUUAUUAUCAUCUUUUUAUUGUCUCACGUAGAAGAUGAUAAUCAGAGCUUAGCUCUUUCCUACAUCGGCUCUUCAACACAGGUCCCAAAGCUUAGCUAUUUCCUACAUCGGCUCUUCUACACAGGUCCCAAAGCUUAGCUCUUUCCUUUCAUGGGUCAACAAAAGUCUCAUACUUUUGCCGUUUCUCCAGGUCACCAACUGUUGCUGUGAUAGAGGAGGGACCACGCGAGCAAAGGAAUCAGUUAUUUUCUGUUUUAGGGUCUCUCACUGAUCCAGAAGAAGAAGAAUCAAAGGACUCCUCAGAGGGACAGGUUGCUUCGUAGAUAUUAAACUACCAAGAAGAAGAAGUUUGCAAGUGGAGUUGAGUUGCAACUCACUAGAAGAGAAAUGUUUAAAAACUGGGAGAGCGUUGGCCUUCCGAAGAAGAUACCAAGUUUAUUUUCACUAUGAAGACGCUUCAUCCCGAAUCUCUCAAAGAAUCAAGUAAUGCAUGAAAGUAGAAUUUAAAUAGGUGGUGCGGUGACACGAAGAGACUGUCAAAUUUUACCAUUCGCACGUUCACUUUCGUUAUACGCAAAACCAAUGGUCAUGGCAGAUGAAGACGACUUCGAACUUGGGGUCUUUCAUUAUAUCACUUUCGUUUACGCAAAAUCAAUAUGUUUGAUAGACUAAUUUUUAUAAAUAAAUGAUAAAAAUCGAUUUUAAAAA